CGCACCUGCACGGGAAGCAGCGGAGAGGACGCAGGGCAGCAGGACUCCCUGGUCAGGGCCCCUGGGGCAGAUGCCGGAUUUGAGUUCUGACACUGUCACUUGCCAGCCGGCGACCUUGGGCAGGUGACUGUCAAGCGUCAGUGUUCCAUCUGCGAAAUGGAUGCAGGAGGCACGCAGAGAAGAGUUGAUGUUGUUUCUUACAGGCAAAAUAAAGAGGAUAAUCCUUCCCUCAUAAGACAGCUUUGAGAAUUGAAUGAAAUUGCUCCUCUAGAGUGCCUUCUACAAGUCCAUACUAUCAUGUAAGUGCUCAAAAAUGUUUUUUUAUUUUUGUCCUCCCCACUCAGUGCUACAGUAACAGAACCUUUGGUCCAGAGCCUGGGAUGUUGCCUUUUGCCCACUGGAAUUCCCAUCUUGGAAGAGUAAGCGCAGGGGAUUGUCCAGACAGCCAGGAGGCCAGCGAAGCCAAGUCCUUCAGUACAGCCUGGGAGCCUCCAGGAAGCUGUUAGGAGUUGCCAUGAUGGGUGCAUUUGGACUCACAGAAUCUGCCUUCCAAUCUCAGUGCUGCUUCUACUCCUUUGCUACCUUAGGUCUUUGAAGACAGGUCCAUACCUUGGGUGUUUGUAUUUGGACAACCACAGACAUUGCCAAGAAAUGUAUCUGUUCUACUUGCACACCUUCACCACCUGGAUGCUGCUUGAGGACACAGAUCUGGUCCAUCAGAUUUCUCUCUGUACUCCUCUCUAUAUUUCGCCAUAUUUGAUAUAGACCCAUCAAUGGCUCCCUAGAAUAAAAUCUCAACUCUUCACUGUGCCCACAGCCCCAGUGACCUUGCCACUUCCAUCAGAGCCCUCACACCAGUGCCCAGACAUACAGACUGACCUCCUGACCAUCCCCCAGAUGUGCUAAGGCCGGUUCUGCUUCUGGACUUCUGAACAGACAUGUUUGGUAAACCCAAACAUUUCAGAUGGUGAAUAGCUCUGAAAGCAAAGUAAGACAGGGUAGGGCAGGAAGGACUUCCAGCAAAGUCACCCCAGGCUGGCCCCUUUC
rnacentral:lncRNA from 10 species